rnacentral:rRNA from 1 species
UGGGGAAUAUUGGACAAUGGGGGCAACCCUGAUCCAGCCAUGCCGCGUGAGUGAAGAAGGCCUUAGGGUUGUAAAGCUCUUUCGCCAGGGAAGAUAGUGACGGUACCUGGUAAAGAAGUCCCGGCUAACUCCGUGCCAGCAGCCGCGGUAAUACGGAGGGGACUAGCGUUGUUCGGAAUUACUGGGCGUAAAGAGUACGUAGGCGGCUUGCCAAGUUGGAUGUGAAAGCCCGGGGCUCAACCCCGGAAUAGCAUUCAAAACUGGUUGGCUAGAGAUCGGAAGAGGUAAGUGGAAUUCCCAGUGUAGAGGUGAAAUUCGUAGAUAUUGGGAAGAACACCGGUGGCGAAGGCGACUUACUGGUCCGAUACUGACGCUGAGGUACGAAAGCGUGGGGAGCAAACAGG